ensembl:processed_transcript
AAAAAAAGAGGAGAGGGAGCGGGCGCACCAGUCGGUUUCUUCGGUGAUACCGGAAGCGAAAAAAGAACUCAACAAGUCGGGCUGUUUCCCAGAGUUUCUUCCGUCUGAAUAAAAAAACGUUAAACAGAAAAGAAAAGAGUACAGCUUUCUCCGGAACGAUGGAUUAUCGACCACUGCUCGUAUAACCCGAACUGUUCCGUCAACAAAAUAGUGUUUCUCCCGCUGUCAUCAACCGAGAGACCGAGCCCCGCUGUCAGCGCCGACCGGGGAAAUUCACAAGCUCGGUAAAAAUUCUCCGGUGUACUGCUCGCCUGAAGAUGUUCUGCGCGACAGAAUGGAAGCCGACAAGAGAGAAAGAGAGCCAGAAAACCCAAGGAAAACACAGUUACUCCCAAGCAACAAAGUGGCAAGAAUGCAAGUCUUGGCAUCGACUGGUGCUCUUAACAUUUUCUCAUCUAAAAAGAGGACGUUUUGAGAUUUAAGACAGCCCUGGCUCAAAUUAGAUUAUAAUUCACUGCAGGACAUCCCCAUUACGCAGGUAUUGUGUGAAAUGGAAACUAUAUGUGACCCCUGGAGCAUAAAACCAUCCUGCCUGGGUAUAUUUUGGCAAUAAUUGUAUUGGUCAAAAUGAUAAUUUUUAUCUUUUAUGCCAUAAAUUAUUCCCAUUUUAUGUAAAGAUCAAGUUCCAUGAAAACAUUUUGUAAAUUUAGUAAUAUGCAUUGAGAAGCGCAUCACGAAGACCAGUGUUUCUCAACCACGUUCCUGAAGGACC